rnacentral:rRNA from 1 species
AUUGAACGCUGGCGGCAGGCCUAACACAUGCAAGUCGAACGAGUGGCGGACGGGUGUGCAUUGUCUGGGAAACUGCCUGAUGGCGGGGGAUAACUACCGGAAACGGUAGCUAAUACCGCAUACCAUCAGAUGUGCCCAGAGUGCAUUAGCUAGUCUGUGGGGUAACGGCUCACCAAGCCGACGAUCCCUUGCUGGGCUGAGAGGAUGACCCGCCCCACGGGACCGGAUACGCGGUCCGGACCCCUACGGGACGCAGCAGUGGAGAAUGUUGUACAAUGGGCGCAGGCCUGAUGCAGCCAUGCCACGUGUAUGAAGAAGGCCUUCGGGUUGUAAUGUACUUUCAGCGGGGAGGCGUUACCCGCAGAAGAAGCACCGGCUAACUCCGUGCCAGCAGCCGCGGUAAUAC